rnacentral:misc_RNA from 1 species
UUAAGUUCAGCGGGUAUCCCUACCUGAUCCGAGGUCAACCAUAGAAAAUUGGGGGGGUUUUGGCCAGAGGCACGCCGGGACCAGUAGCGAGGGUAUGUUACUACGCUCAGGACCACAGCGGCUCCGCCACUAAUUUUAGGGCCUGCCAUCGCUAGCAAGAGAGCCCAAGACAAGCAGAGCUUGAGGGUUGAAAUGACGCU